rnacentral:tRNA from 1 species
GGGGUUGUAGCUCAGUGGUAGAUCAUUUGCCCAGGAUGUAUGAGGUACUGGGUUCAAUUCUCAGCACCACA